rnacentral:rRNA from 1 species
UGAGUACGAGAUGCUACGGCAUCGAAGCAGUCUAUGUCAUACUUCCAAGAAAAGCUUGCACUGUCAUAAACAAAGAAUGCCUGUACCAUAACCGACACAGGUGGGUAGGUAGAGUAUACUAAGGGGCGCGAGAUAACUCUCUCUAAGGAACUCGGCAAAAUGACUCCGUAACUUCGGGAGAAGGAGUGCCUUAUUUCUAAGGUUGCAAUAACAAGAUCCAAGCAACUGUUUACCAAAAACACAGGUCUCCGCUAAGUCGUAAGACGAUGUAUGGGGGCUGACGCCUGCCCAGUGCCAGAAGGUUAAAGAAGUUGGUUAGCAUUAGCGAAGCUGAUAACUGAAGCCCUGGUGAACGGCGGCCGUAACUAUAACGUCCUAAGGUAGCGAAAUUCCUUGUCGGGUAAGUUCCGACCCGCACGAAAGGCGUAAUGAUUUGGAUACUGUCUCGGAGAGGGGCUCGGUGAAAUAGACUUGUCUGUGAAGAUGCGGACUACCUGCACCUGGACAGAAAGACCCUAUGAAGCUUUACUGUAACUUGAGAUUGAAAUUGGACUUUAUUUGCGCAGUAUAGGUGGGAGGCGUUGAGAAUAAUCUUGCGGGAUUGUUGGAGCCAUCAGUGAGAUACCACUCUUGUAAUGUUAGAUUUCUAACUUUGUAUCAUUAUCUGGUCAAAGAACAGUUUCAGGCGGGCAGUUUGACUGGGGCGGUCGCCUCCCAAAGGGUAACGGAGGCGCACAAAGGUUUCCUCUGAACGGGUAGAAAUCGUAUCUAGAGUGUAAAGGCAUAAGGAAGCUUGACUGUGAGACCUACAAGUCGAGCAGGGACGAAAGUCGGUCUUAGUGAUCUGACGGUGCUGAGUGGAAAGCCGUCACUCAACGGAUAAAAGUUACUCUAGGAUAACGGGCUGAUCUCCCCCAAGAGUUCACAUCGACGGGGAGGUUUGGCACCUCGAUGUCGGCUCAUCGCAUCCUGGGGCGGUAGUCCGUCCCAAGGGUUGGGCUGUUCGCCCAUGAAAGCGGUACGCGAGCUGGGUUCAGAACGUCGUGAGACAGUUCGGUCCAUAUCCGGUGUAGGCGUUAGAAUAUUGAGAGGAGCCUUCUCUAGUACGAGAGGACCGAGAAGGACAUACCUCUGGUGUACCAGUUAUCGUGCCAACGGUAAACGCUGGGUAGCUAUGUAUGGAGUGGAUAACCGCUGAAAGCAUCUAAGUGGGAAGCCCACCUCAAGAUAAGUAUUCUC